UCAGAGACUGAAAUGGUUGAUGAUUUACGCAUUCUAGGAGACUCUUGCAAGAUUUUGACCUUUGCAUUGUACCUCUGAUGGGCAGUUGGGCCCGUCCCUCCCUCCAGUGUUGAAGGUGUCAAGCACUGAA